GCUAUGGUCUAGGGCAGUUCUCCCGCAGGUUCCAAUCUCGGAUUUUCUUUCCAUCCGCCUUCCAAUCAAAGAUUGGAAAUCUGUAGGGACGAUCCUUGCGCGGACGGCCGGACGCCGGCGGCAGCCAGCUUGAGCGGCAAGAGUUAGAUAAACCAGCUGCUCAGAGUGGACGUGCUGAAUAUAAAAGAAUAAUUGAAAGGAAGCUGGCAAUAACCUGUCAGUAUGAUGAUAUUGUGGAGGAGGUAAUUUGGGGUCUAGAGAAUAUCAUGCAUACUUUAUUGCCCGAAGAAACAUCAGAGCCGAAGGAGUACCGCCGCUCCCAUGGCAAAGGAUUAAUCCUUUUCUUACGUCAAUAUGGCUUUCUUGUCAAAA